rnacentral:rRNA from 1 species
UUCCGGUUGAUCCUGCCGGACCCUACUGCUAUCGGGGUGGGACUAAGACAUGCGUGUCGCCCAAGCAGGUCGUGGCAUACGGCUCAGUAACACGUGGCUAACCUACCCUCGAGACAGGGACAACCCCGGGAAACUGGGGCUAAUCCCAGAUAGAUGAGAACCCCUGGAAUGGGUUUUCGUCCAAAUGCUCUGCCGCUCAAGGAUGGGGCCGCGUCCGAUCAGGCUGUUGGUGAGGCAAUGGCUCACCAAACCUAUAACCGGUACGGGCCGUGGGAGCGGGAGCCCGGAGAUGGGAACUGAGACAAGGUCCCAGGCCCUACGGGGCGCAGCAGUUACGAAAACUUGUCAAUGCACGAAAGUGUGAACGGGCUACCCCGAGUGCCGUCCGCUGAGGAUGGCUUUUCUCUGCUGUAAGAAGGCGGAGGAAUAAGGCGAGGGCAAGUCUGGUGUCAGCCGCCGCGGUAAUACCAGCUCGCCGAGUGGUAGGGAUGAUUAUUGGGCCUGAAGCGUCCGUAGCCGGCCUUUCAAGUCUCUUGUUAAAUCCAACGAUUCAAUCGCUGGACUGCAGGAGAUACUGUUAGGCUAGGGGGCGGGAGAAGCCGACGGUAUUCUCGGGGUAGGGGUAAAAUCCUAUAAUCCCGGGAAGACCACCAGUGGCGUAGGCGGUCGGCUAGCACGCGCUCGACGGUGAGGGACGAAAGCUGGGGGAGCGAACCGGAUUAGAUACCCGGGUAGUCUCAGCUGUAAACGAUGCUGGCUAGGUGUUGAAGCGGCUACGAGCCGCUUCAGUGCCGCAGGGAAGCCAUUAAGCCAGCCGCCUGGGGAGUACGGCCGCAAGGCUGAAACUUAAAGGAAUUGGCGGGGGAGCACCACAAGGGGUGAAGCUUGCGGUUUAAUUGGAUUCAACGCCGGA